CCCCUCUCAGGAUAUCACCUGGUGAGUUUCCAGUACUCUACCAAUCUCGGCCCUGGGAGGGAGAGCCAAGCAGAAGCAUACCCAUUCCAUUCCUAGCUUGGCCAGUGGCUAGUGAGUGGAAGGCAAUCUGCUACAAGU